rnacentral:rRNA from 2 species
AGACCCGAAACCCGGUGAUCUAGCCAUGGGCAGGUUGAAGGUUGGGUAACACUAACUGGAGGACCGAACCGACUAAUGUUGAAAAAUUAGCGGAUGACCUGUGGCUGGGGGUGAAAGGCCAAUCAAACCGGGAGAUAGCUGGUUCUCCCCGAAAGCUAUUUAGGUAGCGCCUCGUGAAUUCAUCUCCGGGGGUAGAGCACUGUUUCGGCUAGGGGGCCAUCCCGGCUUACCAACCCGAUGCAAACUGCGAAUACCGGAGAAUGUUAUCACGGGAGACACACGGCGGGUGCUAACGUCCGUCGUGAAGAGGGAAACAACCCAGACCGCCAGCUAAGGUCCCAAAGUCAUGGUUAAGUGGGAAACGAUGUGGGAAGGCCCAGACAGCCAGGAUGUUGGCUUAGAAGCAGCCAUCAUUUAAAGAAAGCGUAAUAGCUCACUGGUCGAGUCGGCCUGCGCGGAAGAUGUAACGGGGCUAAACCAUGCACCGAAGCUGCGGCAGCGAACGUAUCACCCAAGACAACUUUACGGAGUUGACGAUUGACGGAGCGAAGCGACGUCAAAGCGUUCAUUAAAGUCGAGUUGGCUUAGGGAUACGUUCGUUGGGUAGGGGAGCGUUCUGUAAGCCUGUGAAGGUGUGUCGUGAGGCAUGCUGGAGGUAUCAGAAGUGCGAAUGCUGACAUAAGUAACGAUAAAGCGGGUGAAAAGCCCGCUCGCCGGAAGACCAAGGGUUCCUGUCCAACGUUAAUCGGGGCAGGGUGAGUCGACCCCUAAGGCGAGGCCGAAAGGCGUAGUCGAUGGGAAACGGGUUAAUAUUCCCGUACUUGGUGUUACU